rnacentral:rRNA from 1 species
AUGGCGGGAGAGGUGAGCAAGGAGGAGGUAGGGAGCGUCCUCAUGCAGGCCAUGAUGGCCGCCAAGAACCUGCGCCCGCAGCGCGACCGCCUCCUGCAUCUCCGGCGCCGCCUGCAGCGCCUGCAGGCCGGCCCCGCCGCCCCCGACGAGGACAGGCUCGGGGACCUCGCCGCGGACCUCUUCAAGGUCUACUACAUCGGCAUGGAGGCCGGCGCGCGCAUGCUCAGCGUCUGCCUCGAGCUAGCCGUCAAGAACGGCGGCCGCUUCGCCAUGAACCCCGCCUUCGCCCGCAUGCCCGACGAGCAGCUCCACCACGCGCUGCUGAGCUGCUGA